rnacentral:rRNA from 1 species
AUGGACGCUGGCGGCGUGCCUAAUACAUGCAAGUCGAGCGAACAGACGAGGAGCUUGCUCCUCUGACGUUAGCGGCGGAUGGGUGAGUAACACGUGGAUAACCUACCUAUAAGACUGGGAUAACUUCGGGAAACCGGAGCUAAUACCGGAUAAUAUAUUGAACCGCAUGGUUCAAUAGUGAAAGACGGUUUUGCUGUCACUUAUAGAUGGAUCCGCGCCGCAUUAGCUAGUUGGUAAGGUAACGGCUUACCAAGGCAACGAUGCGUAGCCGACCUGAGAGGGUGAUCGGCCACACUGGAACUGAGACACGGUCCAGACUCCUACGGGAGGCAGCAGUAGGGAAUCUUCCGCAAAGGGCGAAAGCUUGACGGAGCAACGCCGCGUGAGUGAUGAAGGUCUUCGGAUCGUAAAACUCUGUUAUUAGGGAAGAACAAAUGUGUAAGUAACUAUGCACGUCUUGACGGUACCUAAUCAGAAAGCCACGGCUAACUACGUG